UACGUAGGAGGCAAGCGUUGUCCGGAGUUACUGGGCGUAAAGCGCACGCAGGCGGUCUGUUAAGUUUGGAGUGACAGUUGGGGGCUCAACUCCCAAAGUGCUUUGAAAACUGACAGACUUGAGGGCUUCAGAGGGACACGGAAUUCCGGGUGGAGUGGUGAAAUGCGUAGAGAUCCGGAGGAACACCGAAGGCGAAGGCAGUGUCCUGGGGAGUACCUGACGCUCAGGUGCGAAAGCCAGGGGAGCGAACGGG
rnacentral:rRNA from 1 species